rnacentral:tRNA from 1 species
GGAACCAUUGCUUAGCUCGCUAAAGUGCCUGCCUAGUAAGCAGGAGUUCCUGGGUUCAGCUCUUAGUGGUGCCU